GUUCAGCAUAUUUAGCACAUUAUUUAUGACAAGAGCAGCAUUUAUAAUAUUAUACAUGCAAAAGUUAUUACAUUUUUAGCAGCUAUUACAUUAUUGGCAGUUAUUACAUUAUCAGUUGCUACAUGUCACUACAACUCUACUCAACUCUACUCACUCUACUCACUACAACUCUACCAAUGUCCAGGGGUAUUGUCGGAUGGGGCCACAGUGUCGCCCGACCCCUCCUGUCUCAGUCUCCAGUAUUUAUGCUGCAGUAGUUUAUGUGUCGGGGGGGCUAGGGUCAGUUUGUUAUAUCUGGAGUAUUUCUCCUGUCUUAUCCGGUGUUCUGUGUGAAUUUAAGUAUGCUCUCUCUAAUUCUGUCUCUUUCUUUCUUUCUCUCUCUCUCGGAGGACCUGAGCCCUAGGACCAUGCCUCAGGACUACCUGGCCUGAUGGCUCCUUGCUGUCCCCAGUCCACCUGGCCGUGCUGCUGCUCCAGUUCCAACUGUUCUGCCUGCGGCUAUGGAACCCUGACCUGUUCACCGGACGUGCUACCUGUCCCAGACCUGCUGUUUUCAACUCUCUAGAGACAGCAGGAGCAGUAGAGAUACUCUGAAUGAUCGGCUAUGAAAAGCCAACUGACAUUUACUCCUGCUUACCUGUUGCACCCUCAACAACCACUGUGAUUAUUAUUAUUUGACCCUGCUGGUCAUCUAUGAACAUUUGAACAUCUUGGCCAUGUUCUGUUAUAAUCUCCACCCAGCACAGCCAGAAGAGGACUGGCCACCCCUCAUAGCCUGGUUCCUCUCUAGGUUUCUUCCUAGGUUUUGGCCUGUCUAGUGAGUUUUUCCUAGCCACCGUGCUUCUACACCUGCAUUGUUUGCUGUUUGGGGUUUUAGGCUGGGUUUCUGUACAGCACUUUGAGAUAUCAGCUGAUGUAAGAAGGGUUUUAUAAAUAAAUUUGAUUUGAUUACUACUGGGACAAGCCAAUUUGAUUCUCCUAAGUACUUGAAACAAUGCACUAAGUUUUGCAAUAUUAACC
rnacentral:lncRNA from 1 species